GACGAACGCUGGCGGCGUGCCUAAUACAUGCAAGUAGAACGCUGAAGGAGGAGCUUGCUCUUUCCGGAUGAGUUGCGAACGGGUGAGUAACGCGUAGGUAACCUGCCUGGUAGCGGGGGAUAACUAUUGGAAACGAUAGCUAAUACCGCAUAAUAGCAGUUAUUGCAUGAUAACUGUUUGAAAGGUGCAAAUGCACCACUACCAGAUGGACCUGCGUUGUAUUAGCUAGUUGGUGAGGUAACGGCUCACCAAGGCGACGAUACAUAGCCGACCUGAGAGGGUGAUCGGCCACACUGGGACUGAGACACGGCCCAGACUCCUACGGGAGGCAGCAGUAGGGAAUCUUCGGCAAUGGACGGAAGUCUGACCGAGCAACGCCGCGUGAGUGAAGAAGGUUUUCGGAUCGUAAAGCUCUGUUGUAAGAGAAGAACGGGUGUGAGAGUGGAAAGUUCACACUGUGACG
rnacentral:rRNA from 1 species